rnacentral:rRNA from 1 species
CAGUCGCCGCGGUAAUACGAAGGGUGCAAGCGUUACUCGGAAUUACUGGGCGUAAAGCGUGUGUAGGUGGUUGUUUAAGUCUGUCGUGAAAGCCCUGGGCUCAACCUGGGAAUUGCGAUGGAUACUGGGCGACUAGAGUGCGGUAGAGGAUAGUGGAAUUUCCGGUGUAGCGGUGAAAUGCGUAGAGAUCGGGAGGAACAUCAGUGGCGAAGGCGGCCAUCUGGGACAACACUGACGCUGAGGCACGAAAGCGUGGGGAGCAAACAGGAUUAGAUACCCGCGUAGUCCCUGUCUCUUAUAC